UAUAUAUAUAUAUAUAUAUAUAUAUAUAUAUAUAUUGAGAAUACAAAAAGCAGAAGACGAAGACGGCUGUACCGGUGUGUAAACAACAAACAGAUUUAUUAGUUUAACGCUCGGAAGUGAGAAAGUCUUUUACGUUUCGAGCCUACGAUCUUUGACAGAAAGGAAAAC